AACUUUCAACAACGGUCUCUUGGCUCUNGCAUCGUUGANAGAACGCAGCGAAAUGUGGAUAAUUAAUGUGGAAUUGCAGAAUUCAGUGAAUCAUCGUAAUCUUUGAACGCAUCUUGCGCUUGCUUGGUAUUCCGGCAAGCAUGUCUGUUUGAGUGUUGUGA
rnacentral:rRNA from 1 species